rnacentral:rRNA from 1 species
GAUGAACGCUAGCUACAGGCUUAACACAUGCAAGUCGCGGGGCAGCAUGGGGGUUGCUUGCACUCCCCGAUGGCGACCGGCGCACGGGUGAGUAACGCGUAUCCAACCUGCCCUUCACCACGGGAUAACCCGGCGAAAGUCGGACUAAUACCGUAUGUUGUCCAUUGACGGCAUCCGAUUUGGACGAAAGGCUUGGCGGUGAGGGAUGGGGAUGCGUCCGAUUAGCCAGACGGCGGGGUAACGGCCCACCGUGGCUACGAUCGGUAGGGGUUCUGAGAGGAAGGUCCCCCACACUGGAACUGAGACACGGUCCAGACUCCUACGGGAGGCAGCAGUGAGGAAUAUUGAUCAAUGGGCGUAAGCCUGAACCAGCCAAGUAGCGUGCAGGAUGACGGCCCUAUGGGUUGUAAACUGCUUUUAUGCGGGGAUAAAGUGGCCCACGUGUGGGCUUUUGCAGGUACCGCAUGAAUAAGGACCGGCUAAUUCCGUG